UACAGAGGUCUCAAGCGUUGUUCGGAUUCAUUGGGCGUAAAGGGUGCGUAGGCGGCGCGGUAAGUCGGGUGUGAAGUCUUGGAGCUUAACUCCGAAACUGCAUUCGAUACUGCCGUGCUUGAGGACUGGAGAGGAGACUGGAAUUUACGGUGUAGCGGUGAAAUGCGUAGAUAUCGUAAGGAAGACCAGUGGCGAAGGCGGGUCUCUGGACAGGUUCCUGACGCUGAGGCGACGAAGGCCAGGGGAGCAAACGGG
rnacentral:rRNA from 1 species